rnacentral:rRNA from 1 species
UGACGGUACCAUCAGAAAAAGCAACGGCUAACUACGUGCCAGCAGCCGCGGUAAUACGGAGGAUGCAAGCGUUAUCCGGAUUUAUUGGGUUUAAAGGGUGCGUAGGCGGUCUGGUAAGUCAGUGGUGAAAUGUCUCCGCUCAACGGAGAAAGUGCCAUUGAUACUGUUGGACUAGAAUUCGGAUGCCGUGGGAGGAAUGUGUAGUGUAGCGGUGAAAUGCUUAGAUAUUACACAGAACACCGAUUGCGAAGGCAUCUCACGAAUCCGAGAUUGACGCUGAGGCACGAAAGUGUGGGGAUCAAACAGGAUUAGAUACCCUG